CCUCGGCAUAUACUAUAGUGAACUUGGCUGACCAUACCUUUGUAGAUGAUAAAUUGAUCUACAAUCUUGGCAAAAUAUUAGGGUCCUCAAAGAAUCUAACCUUCAAUUUUUUUACCUAUUGCCGAGACUGUCCUGGAGAGUCCUUGGGACUCACAAACUGAGGUGAGAAAAAAAUUUAUUUUGCAAGUAAAUACAGUACCAUUUCCGACCAAACGAAGAGUCAUUAAUGCUUGAAUAGAUAUUAGACCA
rnacentral:lncRNA from 1 species